rnacentral:antisense_RNA from 1 species
AGUAGAAAAUGGAGGACAAUAAAGUUUAUUUACAUGUUCUACCCUCUACUGAAGUAUGGCUGGACAGACAACUUCAAAGUUUUUUCAGCUUAUGAAGAAAUGGCCUUCUUGGACUUAAGAAACAGAAAAAAGCUGGGCAUGGUGGUUCACGCCUAUAAUCCCAGCACUUUGGGAGGCUGGAGGAAGAUCACUUAAGGUUAGGAGUUUAAGACCAGCCUGGCCAACAUAGUGAGACCCUGUCUCUAAAAUAAAGAUUUAAAAAGAAAAGAGAAUAAAAGUUUCUCCUGACACAAGUUUAAUGACGGUCACAAUGGUCUUACAAAGCUUUAACUUCAGAAUAAAAACUCCUUUCACAAUCAAAGAAUGCUUUCCAGCGAAGAACAUUUAUUUUAUCAGUAAUGAGGAAAAAAUACAACUGAUCAAAACCUCUUUGAGAAAGAAACCCAAACCUUUCGGGUGACCGUGAUCUUGUUCGUCUUUUUUUGCGAUCACCAGAUGAAGAAGAUCUAGAACGACUUCUCUUUCUGUUCCUCUCAGGAGAAGAUGAUGAACUUGAAUAAGAUCUUUUUCGUGGGGAAGAAGAGCCCCUGUGGGACCUGGAGCUGGAUCUUCAUUGAUUGAGAAACAAAUCA